rnacentral:lncRNA from 1 species
AGUGUCUAGUAUAGAGCUAUGUUACAUUGAAUGGCAAAAGUGACUUUGUAGAGGUAAGUUGUUUAAAAAUUUGCUUUAUAUACAGAUAAGGAAGAUGUGCUGAAAAGAUACAACUACAUGGCACUGUAGACUUAUUUAUUCUGUCUUCUGGGAAUAUAGCAGACAGUUGGCUUAGCAACUCUGAGUGGUGGGCUCAACAGAAGAACAAGCUGAUAGAAGUCCUUGGGCUCUGAGGCUCCAUUCUAAUCAAAGUACUUCUCCAACCAGAGGACUUCCAUUGAUCAAUAGCCACUCAGAUGUUCUGUGUUUGCCAUGAGUAUCGGACUUCAGUCUUCUGGAAAGAUGGCUGUGGUGCCUAAACACAUCUGUGCCUGGCCUCACCCGCGGGACUUCGGACAUUUCACUUAAUGCUGAAAAUUCACUCUACUGCCACUACUCAGGACUUCUGAUGGGCAUGAAAAUCCAAGCCUGCUUUAUGAUAUUAACCUCUGAAUUUCAUAAACCGCUUAAAACUUUAGAAUGUCCAGAAAACACUGGUAGAAUACGGACACAUGAGACAAGGCCAGAAAGGAAGUCAAUAAAAUGUGAUUACUAAGCAAAUUACCACCAGAGAAGCAGAAGGAAAUCCCUCUUCAAUAUUUUGAGAGACAGUAAAGAACAUUCCCUGGAGUUAGGACAAAUGAAGAGCAAGAAGUUUCAUCUUGCUCUGUCAUCCAGGCUGGAGUGCAGGGGCACCAUCUCGGCUCACUGAAACCUCCACUUCCCGGGUUCAAGCGAUUCUCCUGCCUCAGCCUCCUGAGUAACUGGGGUUACAG